GACGAACGCUGGCGGCGUGCUUAACACAUGCAAGUCGAACGGAAAGGCCCUGCUUUUGUGGGGUGCUCGAGUGGCGAACGGGUGAGUAACACGUGAGUAACCUGCCCUUGACUUUGGGAUAACUUCAGGAAACUGGGGCUAAUACCGGAUAGGAGCUCCUGCUGCAUGGUGGGGGUUGGAAAGUUUCGGCGGUUGGGGAUGGACUCGCGGCUUAUCAGCUUGUUGGUGGGGUAGUGGCUUACCAAGGCUUUGACGGGUAGCCGGCCUGAGAGGGUGACCGGCCACAUUGGGACUGGGGUACGGCCCAGACUCCUACCGGGGGCAGCAGUGGGGAAUAUUGCACAAUGGGCGGAAGCCUGGUGCAGCAACGCCGGGUGCGGGAUGACGGCCUUCGGGUUUUAAACCGCUUUCGCCUGUGACGAAGCGUGAGUGGCGGUAAUGGGUAAAGAAGCACCGGCUAACUACGUG
rnacentral:rRNA from 1 species